CCUAUAUAUCCCUUUUCUAAACCCUAUUUUCCCCAUCAGCCACCUCCUCCCAAGCCCCUCCAAUUUUUGUUUCUUACGAAAAUGAUAUUAGGUUACAUUUUGUUUCUCUCCUUUCUCUCUCAGAUUUCAGAAAAACCUUCAUAGACGGCGAAGAGAACUGAAACCGAAACCUUCUCAGAUUUCAGAAGUAAGAGAUAUGAAGGAUUUGAAUUUGUUUCUGAGAUUAUCACCAGCCGUAAUGAAGGAUUUGAAUCUGUUUCUGAGGUAAUAUGAAGAAUUUGAAUCUAUUUCUGAGUUCAUGUCUCUCUGGAAAGUGUCAAGCUAAAGAAAAAGAAGAAACACAAGAGAACAGAAAGGCCCAGAUGGUAGCAAAACUACAUGGAAUACUGAGACCAUUUCUACUUCAGAGAAUGAAAUCUAAUGUCGAGCUAAUGCUCCCUCGGAAGAAAGAAAUCAUAAUAGGUUAUGAUUGAAGGUAGCAUUGUUUUUAGUCUAAUUGUUAUAGAUAGAUUCUAUAACCUGUGCAUCAACCUCUCUUGUUUUCAUAAAUAUUAUUUAUAUAUUUAGAUAUAUAUCUCCGCCCAAAUCCCUCCCCUCUCGCCCAAAUCUCUCUCGCUCUUGGCUCAUAAAGCCAAAUACCCUCCCCUCCGCUCUCGCUCUCGCUCUCGCUCCCCCUCUCCCUCUCCCUCAUCCCUCCACUCUCGCCACUCUCGCUCUCGCUCUCGCCACUCUC